rnacentral:rRNA from 1 species
UACGUGGGGGGCAAGCGUUAUCCGGAUUUACUGGGUGUAAAGGGAGCGUAGACGGCGAUGCAAGCCAGAUGUGAAAGCCCGGGGCUCAACCCCGGGACUGCAUUUGGAACUGUAUAGCUAGAGUGUCGGAGAGGCAGGCGGAAUUCCUAGUGUAGCGGUGAAAUGCGUAGAUAUUAGGAGGAACACCAGUGGCGAAGGCGGCCUGCUGGACGAUGACUGACGUUGAGGCUCGAAAGCGUGGGGAGCAAACAGG